AAACACGCUCACAUUUCUAUAAAACUAUAAAACCUCUUCACACCUUUGACUCUGUCUCUCUCUCUCUCUCUGUUAUUUUCCUCUCCACGCCAGUUUCGUUCUGAUGAAAUUCUGUUGAGAAUUUCGAUAAUACUUUGGCAUCGAUUUGUCUGUGAAAGGAGAACAAAUCAAAUCGGCGACGAAGAAAUUAUGAGGAGGAUUAUUUCUUCAUCGCUUCUUCUCCUGGAAAGUCCUUCUUCUCCCUUUUUAUUUCAAUUUCUUUCAAUCAAUUUUGCUUCUCCAAUCUUCUGGCAAUUUUUUUUGUACUUUUCUGAAUUUUUUUUUGUUGGCUUGAAGAUUUUUGAAAUCCAUUUUUUCUAUUAUGUGAAAACCAUUAUACAAAAUAGUGAUUUAUCAAAAAACAAAAAAUUCGAAUUCUG